rnacentral:pre_miRNA from 1 species
UUAGUACUCCCUCCGUCCCAAAAAAAUUGUCUUAGAUUUGUGUAGAUAUGGAUGUAUCUAAUACUAAAACAUGACUUGAUACAUCCGUAUUUAGACAAAUCUAAGACAAGAAUUUUGGGAUGGAGGGAGUACACC